GCUUUGUAAAAAUCGAGGUGUUUCAGAAAUUAUAGUUAGAUUAGAAGUACAAAACAAGGAUUUAUAAAUAAGAAUGUCAGAGGAGCUAACCCUGACCUCAUACGUUUUUAUUUCACCUCUUUUGGACUGGAGCACUCCAACACCUGUGUGGCAUUAAACAGCUUGAAAGAACAAAGACAAUUUUUAAUAUAACUCCAACUGAAUCGUCUGAAAAAAGAAAGUUAAAUACACCUAGGAUGCCUUGAGGAAUCCCGAUUGGCUGGCUGUCCUUGACCUUUGACCUACAAUGAAGUAACAUUCUUGUUCCCACAUUCCACAGUGAUCUUUGUAGUCUCUGAGAGGUUAUGACCUGUUAUAGCACUGUAACUGUCAGAACAUUUUGUACGUGGGAAAUGGAAAGAGAAGAACAAAGACAAUAGCCCAUAUGUUCCUGUGAGAGGACGACGGAAACAGCCAAUGGAUAACCAUUAGAGGCCCCUCUCUCUGCAUCUUUUACUUCCGUUCAUGCCUCUUACAAUCUUCCUCACUACGUCACUCCAUCACAUUUCUCUUCCUUUAUCUCAACAUUCGCCAUCAAUCAAUACAGCUCACAUGCCUGCGCACAAACACAACACAGAACCUUUCUUCUCCCACUGCGUGCCACAGGGCUGAAUUCCCCAUGUGAUCAGACUAACACAAUCAAACUUAAUGUUAUUUUUCUCUUAUGCAUACACACAUGUAUACAGCUAGCCUUCAAGGCCUGAAACAGAAGCCUCUGCUAUACUACUCAGGCAGACACACCCAAGUAAAACAUGAACUCAUCUCCUUACAAACC
ensembl:lncRNA